UACAGAGGGUGCGAGCGUUAAUCGGAAUUACUGGGCGUAAAGCGCGCGUAGGCGGCUUUGCAAGUCGGGUGUGAAAUCCCCCGGCUUAACCUGGGAACUGCGUCUGAUACUGGGAGGCUAGAGUAUGGGAGAGGGAUGUAGAAUUCCAGGUGUAGCGGUGAAAUGCGUAGAUAUCUGGAGGAAUACCGGUGGCGAAGGCGGCAUCCUGGACCAUUACUGACGCUGAGGCGCGAAAGCUAGGGGAGCAAACGGG
rnacentral:rRNA from 1 species